rnacentral:rRNA from 1 species
UACGAAGGGGGCUAGCGUUGCUCGGAAUUACUGGGCGUAAAGCGCACGUAGGCGGCUUUCUAAGUCGGAGGUGAAAUCCUGGAGCUCAACUCCAGAACUGCCUUCGAUACUGGAGAGCUUGAGUCCGGGAGAGGUGAGUGGAACUCCUAGUGUAGAGGUGAAAUUCGUAGAUAUUAGGAAGAACACCAGUGGCGAAGGCGGCUCACUGGCCCGGUACUGACGCUGAUAUGCGAAAGCGUGGGGAGCAAACAGG